UUGAACGCUGGCGGCAGGCCUAACACAUGCAAGUCGAGCGGAUGAAGGGAGCUUGCUCCUGGAUUCAGCGGCGGACGGGUGAGUAAUGCCUAGGAAUCUGCCUGGUAGUGGGGGAUAACGUCCGGAAACGGGCGCUAAUACCGCAUACGUCCUGAGGGAGAAAGUGGGGGAUCUUCGGACCUCACGCUAUCAGAUGAGCCUAGGUCGGAUUAGCUAGUCGGUGGGGUAAAGGCCUACCAAGGCGACGAUCCGUAACUGGUCUGAGAGGAUGAUCAGUCACACUGGAACUGAGACACGGUCCAGACUCCUACGGGAGGCAGCAGUGGGGAAUAUUGGACAAUGGGCGAAAGCCUGAUCCAGCCAUGCCGCGUGUGUGAAGAAGGUCUUCGGAUUGUAAAGCACUUUAAGUUGGGAGGAAGGGCAGUAAGUUAAUACCUUGCUGUUUUGACGUUACCAACAGAAUAAGCACCGGCUAACUUCGUG
rnacentral:rRNA from 1 species